UAAUAUUUUCGGGGUGUUGGACACUAUUAUAGUCGUCGUUUUUGGUAUGAAUUGAUUGGGGUAUGUUGGGCUGUUGUAAUCUAAAUAUAACAUGGAUUUCGACUUGCAUCCACUGUAGGUGGUAAUUAUAUUGUGUUCCUACAGGCGCUUAAGGUUAUCUUGGCAUUGGUUAAGUUAAGUGGAUGAACUGGACCUGAACUAGUGAAUAAAGUUGCUAAUUAAGAAUAAUUGGAGUUGUGGAUCAUUUUCUUUAUUAUGGAUAUAUGGUAUAAGGCUGGAAUUAUUGAUGAAUGACUUCAUUAUCAUGUUAAUGAUACUAUUAAGUUAAAGUAAAAAGUCUAUAAAAGAUGAUAUGGGGCAUACAAAUUCCAAUUGGAGCUUGUCGCUCGUCGUAAAAUAGUUAUGACUUGUUGUUGUUUUAUGGUGUCUUGUUAUUGAUAAUUAUGUAUUGCUGGAUUUCUCUGGUAAUUGUUGUUGGUAUAUGGUAUUGGAGGAGGCUCUUGUUUUAGGGGAGAUGUUGCCCGAAUUUAUAUAAACGAACUACAAGUUUAAGUUGCAGACUUAGCCUUUAUUCAACACUGAUUUUGAAUCUCUUUAUGCAAUGGUAGAUUGAGUUGAGUUGUUUGAAGAGUAGCUUGGGAGGUAUUAAGGGCUCACCAUGGUUAAGGUAUGUUAAGGCACUUCCCUCUUUCUUUUGGCAUGAUCUAAAGUGAAAUGAAUACGCUAUUUCAUAACGGAUUUACUCCUAGAAACUAAGGUUGCCCAUGUUGUUCUUUCCUUAUAAAGUUAUUUUAAGCAAGUAUGUAUGAUCCUUGAAUCCUAUAGAAGCUCAUAUUGAUGGUAUGAUGUCUAUAAUGUUAAUCGAAGGUGCAACGACCUUAAGUCACUCCAAAAGGUUUAGAACGUGAUUUCAUGAGUCUAACAUGCAUUAUAUAUAUCAUCUACUUUACUCUACCGAGCCGCGCUAUAGUAGGCCGGGUACAAUACCUUAUUGUGCAACCACUGAUCAGUUGGGUUUACCGAGCUCCACGUGGCCGUGUACGAUUCUACCGAGCCUUAUGAUGGUCGGGUACGUUUUUACCGAGUCUUCUUUUAGGCCGAGUACGAUAUGAUGAUGAUAAUGCCCACAGAGGCGUAUGUUUUUAAAAGUUUAUGUAUAUAUAUGUAUUAUGCAUUUCAUGUCAGUAUCCCACAGAGGCACUCAGAUGUUACAGGUUGUAUCUCCUCUAUCUCUCUUUACAUUAAUGUUCUUGUUUAUGCUUUCCUGCCUUACAUACUCGGUACUUUAUUUGUACUGACGUCCCUUUUGCCUGUGGACGCUGUGUUUCAUGCCCGUAGGUCUCGAUUGAUAGGUUGACAAUCUUCCUAGUAAGCUAUCAGCUCAGCGGAGGUGUUGGUGCACUCCACUUGCUCCAGAGUUGUCUAUUUGGUCAGUAUGCUUUGGAUAUGUAUUGAUUGGUAUGACGGGCCCUGUCCCGACCUUUAUGAUUUUAUGUACUCUUAGAGGCUUGUAGACAGAUGUCAGGUUUAUGGAUACUUGUAUGGCCUUGUUGGCCUAUGUGUUGAGUUUACAAAUGGUCAUGUCGGCCUUAUAGGCCCGUAUGUCACAUGUGUAAGUUUUUGUAUCAUGUUGGGUCGUCAUAUGUUGAGUAUUCCCUUACGUUUUAUUCUUGUUAUCUCAUGACGGGCUUCUGGCUCAUUUACUCAAGAUAGUAUAAUAAGAAAGAUAUGUUAUGUUGGUACUCGAUUGAGUAAGGCACCGGGUGCCCGUCGCGGCCCUUCGAUUUGGGUCAUGACAGAAAUGGUAUCAGAGCAGUUCUGUCCCAGGGAGUCUACAAGCCGUGUCUAGUAGAGUCUUGUUUAUGGGUAUGUUGUGCACCACACUUAUAAGCAAGAGGCUAAAGGGCAUUUAAGACUGUCACUCUUUCUUCUUGUUCUAGAUCGUGUGAUAGAGCUCAGUUGUAAUAAUUCAAACUCCUAAAUUUUGUUUAUUCAUAAUACAGUGAUACCUACAUUCAGAAAGACAGUUGGUAAGAGAUUGAUUUUUGAUGCGAAAGAGUUGAGUCAGGGGAACUCAAUUUUGCAUCAUGCUUAUGACGAGCAAAUGUGGGGUCUUCAACAAAUCAUGUGUGUACUAAGAUGUGUAAGCUU
rnacentral:lncRNA from 1 species